GUUACCACGGCAACACUGUAAUCAGAGCUUGCAAGAACUUGGCGGAGCUGCAGACCUGUAGAGCCAGCCCACCAGACCACCAGGGAAUUGUGAGCACUGAAAAACAAGGUAUGUACCCUGCCCCCCACUGUCACCCUGUUAUUGUCACCCUCACACCCUGCCCCCCCACUGUCACCCUGUUAUUGUCACCCUCACAUCCUGCCCCCAUACUGUCAUCACAUCCUGCCACCCACUACUGACACCCUCACAUCCUGCCCCCAUACUGUCAUCACAUCCUGCCACCCACUACGGUCACCCUUACAUCCUGCCCCCCACACUGUCACCACCACACCCAGCCCCCAUAGCCUUCGUACACACUGUUCCCCCACAAUGUCCUCUUCCUACACAUUGUUCUGCCAUUCCAGCCCAGAGGUAAGAGGCAGGAAGGGGGAUAAUCCCAAAUCAAUAUAAACUGCUCACGCCCACCAGCAUUUCACCAACUCUUCACACACACUACAUGCACUACACAGACACUACUUAAUACACAGACACUACACAGACACUGCCUCCACCACACACACCCUACAUCCACUACACAUACUCCCUCCAUUAUGCACACACAGGCAAUAUAUUCAAUACACACAUUGCAUACAAUACACACUAUAUCCAUGACAUAAUUACAGACGCAGCAUCCAUGACAAACAGACACUGCAUCCACUAAACAAACACACGCUGCCUCCAGUAUACACACACACACAUACAAUAUAAUCAAUAUACACACUGCAUACAAUACACACUACAUCCAUAACACAAUAACAGACACAGCAUCUACAACACACAGACGCAGCAUCCAAGACACACAAAUGCAGCAUCCACGAAACACAGACACUGCAUUCACUGAAGCCACACACACACACACUGCAUCCACUACAUACCAAAUAUGAUAUACACAUUGCAUCCACUACACAAACAGACAUUGCAUUCACUACACACACUGCAUAACAUAAUGGAUGUUGGCGUACUUUUGGUGCAAGGCGGGGGUGGGGGACAGCAUUUCAUCCUUGGACCCAGACAGCACAAUGGCUUGAGCUGGCCCUGGUCCUAAAUUAUUUUUGCUAAUCUGGACUGGGAGAAUUCAAACUCUAUUUGGAUUGAGUUAAGUUUUUUAACACUAGGGUGGAAAGAGUAUUAUAGUUAGUCAGGGCCGGAUUAACAUAGGGGCUGAUGGAGCUGCAGCUACAGGCACAGGCCCAGGCCCAUGGAAUAGGCGCAUUUAACCCUUUAAGGACCAAACUUCUCGAAUAAAAGGGAAUCAUGACAUGUCACGCUGGAUUCAGGUAAGUGGCCGAAGGGGUUUUAACCCCCUCAGCAACAAGGGAUGGGGGCAAGAGAGAGGGGGGCACUCCAGGAUUCUCUAGUACCAGGGAAAUGGGCUUGUUUCCCUGGCACUAGAGAGUCCCUUUAAUGAAGCAGUUUUUGUGUUUUUAUUCAGCAGUUUCACUGCUCAAUUCAUUGCCAUUUCGGAGUUAAAUCACUUUUGUCUUUUGUUAUGCAGGCGUAUAAUUAGCUUAGUAUAUUAUCACUUAAGGUUGUUUUUUUUGUUUUUUUAACUAAACAUUGAAUUGCAAAAUGUAGGCAUAUAUAUUUUUUGAAUUGUAAAAAAUCUCCAAAUUUGCUAUAGUCACAGUUUGACUAUUAUCAUUUUUUAUACAUUUACCACAAUUCUUUUUUUGUGAUUACAUUAUUAGUUAGUAUUUAUUAGUUAGUUACUCAGUUUUUAAUUCGCUCUCUAGCUUGGUUAAUGGAAAGGCAAGAAAGCACACAAGACUUCCCUUCUUCUAACUUUUUGAACUCUGCAUCAGAUUGCUUACAUUUACCCCACAUAUACUGAAAACAUUAGAGAAUUAUUUGAGAUUGGCAUUUUAAAGCCCUCUGUGUCAUGACAUAAAAAAAAUUAAUUAUAGCUAGUAAUGACAAAUGUAAUCGCAGAGGAAUCUGAGGUUGCUGAAUUUUAUUCCUUAAUUCUUGAUAUAAUUGCGGUUAAUUGUAACAAAGUGUGACUGCAUGUGAUUGGUGAAUAGGAUUAAAACCAAAUGUAUGCCCUGCAGCUAAAGGAUACUGACCCUCACCAAUGGAAACUGGAAAUAAACACUACAGCUGCUUUAAAAAGACAUUCUGGAUGCAUUUCAGAUCUCUAAAACUAAUUCUAGUAUUGAUGGACUACAGCAGGAACAGAGGAUGUACGCGGUGUCCUGCUCUGUGGGAUCAGCUCCAAUCUGCUCCUAAUGCGUCUUCAAAGGAUGGAGAACAUGGGCAAAAGAGACUCAUCUUCAUUACGCAGCUUCAAAGUGAAGGGGACUGCAGAGGGUGAGGAGUCACGGAAUGUUCAGACAGCAACGUCUCAUUGUGUAAUAUGGAAAGUUACAGUUGCACUACGUGGUUUUACUAAAACAAUAGAUUCUGCUUUGAAAUGCUGGGACUUAGACUCAAUUAUGCAGAAUCUUUAUUUUCAGCUGUUGCCCAUUAGGUAGGACUGGUAAACAUUUCAGCUGAUCCAUCCAAGUUCGAGUUUGG